rnacentral:rRNA from 1 species
GACGUAGGGGGCGAGCGUUGUCCGGAGUUACUGGGCGUAAAGGGCGCGCAGGCGGUCGCGUGGGCCAUCGCGUGAAAGCCCCCGGCUCAACCGGGCGGUGGCGGGUGGGACCGCGCGGCUGGAGGGUGGUAGGGGCCAGUGGAAUUCCCGGUGUAGUGGUGAAAUGCGUAGAUACCGGGAGGAACACCCGCAGCGAAGGCGGCUGGCUGGGCCAUUCCUGACGCUGAGGCGCGAAGGCUCGGGGAGCGAACGGG